rnacentral:rRNA from 1 species
UACGGGGGGGGCAAGCGUUGUUCGGAAUUACUGGGCGUAAAGGGCUCGUAGGCGGCCAACUAAGUCAGACGUGAAAUCCCUCGGCUUAACCGGGGAACUGCGUCUGAUACUGGUUGGCUUGAAUCCGGGAGAGGGAUGUGGAAUUCCAGGUGUAGCGGUGAAAUGCGUAGAUAUCUGGAGGAACACCGGUGGCGAAGGCGGCUUCCUGGACCGGUUCUGACACUGAGGAGCGAAAGCGUGGGGAGCGAUCCGG